rnacentral:rRNA from 1 species
CACAAGCGGUGGAGCAUGUGGUUUAAUUCGACGCAACGCGAAGAACCUUACCUGGUCUUGACAUCCCGGGAAUUUCCUUGAAAGAGGGAAGUGCCUCGCAGAGGAGCCUGGAGACAGGUGCUGCAUGGCUGUCGUCAGCUCGUGUCGUGAGAUGUUGGGUUAAGUCCCGCAACGAGCGCAACCCUUGUCUUUAGUUGCCAUCAUUCAGUUGGGCACUCUAAAGAGACUGCCGGUGUCAAACCGGAGGAAGGUGGGAUGACGUCAAGUCAUCAUGGCCCUUAUGUCCAGGGCGACACACGUGCUACAAUGGCCGGCACAGCGGGAAGCGAGGGGGCGACCUUGAGCGGAUCCCUCAAAGCCGGUCUCAGUUCGGAUUGCAGUCUGCAACUCGACUGCAUGAAGUUGGAAUCGCUAGUAAUCGUGGAUCAGCCAAGCCGCGGUGAAUACGUUCCCGGGCCUU